GACGACGCUGGCGGCGUGGAUUAGGCAUGCAAGUCGAACGGUAUCAUCCUUCGGGGGUGAGAGAGUGGCGAACUGGUGAGUAACACGUAGGUUAUCUACCCUCAAGACGGGGACAACCCAGGGAAACUUGGGCUAAUACCGGAUGUGAGCAACUUUAGUUGUUUGAAAGUGGCGUAAGCUGUCGCUUGGGGAUGAGCCUGCGUCCUAUUAGUUAGUUGGUGAGGUAACGGCUCACCUAGGCAAUGAUAGGUAGGCGGCCUUAACGGGUGGUCGCCCACACUGGGAUUGAGAUACGGCCCAGACUCCUACGGGAGGCAGCAGUCGAGAAUAGUCUACAAUGGUCGGAAGACUGAUAGUGCGACGCCGCGUGAACGAUGAAUCCCUUCGGGGUGUAAAGUUCUUUUAUAUGUGAGCAGUGCUUCUUAUAUUAACAGUAUGGGGAGAGAGAUAUUAGCAUAUGAAUAAGCAACGGCUAACUCCGUG
rnacentral:rRNA from 1 species